GUAGGCCAUGGCAGAGAUUAAUUUGGGGAAACCAAGGAUGGGCAGACAGCCCCCAUCCCCUGGCAUCUGGGGAACAAGGGCAGCUGUACAGGAAACAUAAAAACACAGUGGAGACCAGAGGAGGGGAGUCAAAUGAGAAUGCUAAAUGUUUGGAACCCAGUGGCUAAGAAAGACGUUGCCAAGUGUCACACUGAAAACAGGAAAGCUUUCCUGGGCCCUGGGUGUGGAGGCCACCGAACAAUGAAAGGGGAAGCCUGUAAGAAGAAUAACAAUGACACGGAAGCCUGCUCCAGCCUGGUGAAAUCCCUUCUGCAGUUUUUACAAGAAGCAAAACAAACAACAGUCUGACCCCUCGGCUCGCCCCCGACGCCACACCCCCUCCUCAGUCCGCAUGUUGGGUCAGGAAGGGCAGUGGUGUGGCCAGAUCCAUGAAAGGGAUUCUAAGAACAAAGCCUGUGCCGUUUACCUGCAGAUCAAAGUUUGCCGUUAAUAACAUGUGUGUUGGAGAGGGCAGAGAGAGGACCGUUGCCCCUGCAUUCCAUUAAAAAGGGAUUAUGGGCUGUCUGACCAGAAUUGACGAUUCUGGCACUUCUGUCAACAUUGUGCCUACAGCUUCUGUGACAUGACUGAAACUCCUCAAGGGCAAUGACAGAGCCAAGGUUGGAGAAUUCUUCCAAAGAAUACCUCAAGGCAACAAAACUGUCAUUUCUUACAGAGGAGCUGCCCAAUCUUUCACCUUCUGCUGUGCUCACCUAUGAUGCCAGCCCCCAUAACAACAAAAUCUUUCUCUUGAAGAAGAGUAAUGUAACUUUUCCAGGAAUGCUCAUGUUUUUCUCUCAACCGGGAAAUUAGAUAUUGAAAAGGAACAGUCUUUGUUACCUUAGAGUUAUUCUGAAAGUUUAAUUUCUUUUUAAGCAGAAAAUAUAGACUCAAAAUGCAGAGGAAGCAUUUCUGUAUCCAUGCAAGAAAAAAAAAUGAUAAAGAAACUAGAGUGGAUAUGAUCUAAUAAGCAUGUUAGGGACAAACCCUAAAGAUAACUCAAGGAUUUUAAAAGGAUUAAUGGCAAGUCAUGAUGAUUCAUGCCAGUAAUCCCAGCACUUUAGGAGGCUGAGGUGGCAGGAUGACUUGUGCCCAGGACUUCAAGACCAGCCUGGGCAACAUAGUGAAACCUCGUCCUUACGAAUAAUUUAAAAAGAAAAAAAUUAGCUGGUCAUGGUGGUGUGUGCCUGUGGACCCAGCUGUUUGAGAGGCUGAAGUGGCAGGAUCACUUGAGCCAGGGAUUUUAAUGCUGCAGUGAGUCAUAUGGACUUCACUGCACUCCAACGUGAGAGACAAAGCGAGACCCCAUCUCAAAUAAAACAAAAUAAUUAAUGUUGUUUAUGAGAAAAGAAGUAAUGGAAAUGUGAAGAGGUGAUUCUGCAGGCCAACCAGAAGCUAUGGAAAAGACCACCUUAAGCUCAAAGAAAAAUACAGACUCAGUUGUUACCACCGAAGUCUUAUCAAAAACCUUCACCAGUCACGGAGCUUUUUUUUUUUAUAUAUAUACUUUAAGUUUUAGGGUACAUGUGCACAAUGUGCAGGUUAGUUACAUAUGUAUACAUGUGACAUGCUGGUGUGCUGCACCCACUAAGUCAUCAUCUAGCAUUAGGUAUAUCUCCCAGUGCUAUCCCUCCCCUCUCCCACCACCCCACAACAGUCCUCAGAGUGUGAUGUUCCCCCUCCUGUGUCCAUGUGUUCCCAUUGUUCAAUUCCCACCUAUGAGUGAGAAUAUGCGGU
rnacentral:lncRNA from 10 species